AACGAACGCUGGCGGCAGGCCUAACACAUGCAAGUCGAGCGCCCAGCAAUGGGAGCGGCAGACGGGUGAGUAACACGUGGGAACCUUCCCUAUAGUACGGAAUAGCCCAGGGAAACUUGGAGUAAUACCGCAUACGCCCGAGAGGGGAAAGAUUUAUCGCUAUAGGAUGGGCCCGCGUAGGAUUAGCUAGUUGGUGAGGUAAUGGCUCACCAAGGCGACGAUCCUUAGCUGGUCUGAGAGGACGACCAGCCACACUGGGACUGAGACACGGCCCAGACUCCUACGGGAGGCAGCAGUGGGGAAUAUUGGACAAUGGGCGCAAGCCUGAUCCAGCCAUGCCGCGUGAGUGAUGAAGGCCUUAGGGUUGUAAGCUCUUUUGCCGGGGACGAUAAUGACGGUACCCGGAGAAUAAGUCCCGGCUAACUUCGUGCCAGCAGCCGCGGU
rnacentral:rRNA from 1 species